rnacentral:rRNA from 1 species
CGAGCACGCGCGUGUGGCAUAUCAAUAAGCGGAGGAAAAGAAACUAACAAGGAUUCCCUUAGUAACGGCGAGUGAAGCGGGAAGAGCUCAAAUUUGAAAUCUUCAAGGUUCUACCUUGACGAAUUGUAGUUUAUAGAAGUGUUUUCUGUUAGUAGAGUGGCAAAAGUUCUUUGGAAUAGGACAUCAUAGAGGGUGAGAAUCCCGUAUUUGGUCAUUCUUUCUAGCUUUGUGAUACACUUUCAACGAGUCGGAUUGUUUGGGAAUGCAGUCCAAAAUGGGUGGUAAAUUUCAUCUAAAGCUAAAUAUUGGCGAGAGACCGAUAGCGAACAAGUACCGUGAGGGAAAGAUGAAAAGAACUUUGAAAAGAGAGUUAAACAGUACGUGAAAUUGUCAAAAGGGAAGCGUUUGACACCAGUGUUGUUUUUCCGAAAAUCAAUUACGAAUGUUUUGUUUUUAAGAAGUUAUGACUUCAUCGGCUUGCUUCUUUCUUUACGAAACUUUCUUAAUGCACUUUUCGGUUAACAAGUCAACAUCAAUUUCUUUUGUUGUAAAAGGGUACGAUUGGAAGGUGGCUUUCCUUUCGGAGAAAGUGUUUAUAGCCUUUGUACCUUCUAGCAAUCGGAGAGAUUGAGGUCUGCAGCGUAGAUCCUUCGGGGUUAGAUACAUUAGAUGCUAAGUUAUAGCUUUUCAUAGACAACUUGUUGACUAUGUUAGUCUUGUAGCUUACUCGCUUAUGCUAUUUUACCUACGCUUAGGAUGUUGAGUAGCGACAUACGCAC